UGCACUGCAUGGUAUCUGCAUUCAGCAGUUCACUCCUGCUGGGAUGUUCCAAGGACAGUGCGACAGAAAUUCAGUAGCUGGCAUCGUUGGUUUUCUUGGCUUUGUGCAUGUUAAACCUGGUAUUUCUAUUGGUACAGUU
ensembl:snoRNA SNORA8 small nucleolar RNA SNORA8